GACGAACGCUGGCGGCGUGCUUAACACAUGCAAGUCGAACGGAAAGGCCCCGCUUUUUUGGGGUGCUCGAGUGGCGAACGGGUGAGUAACACGUGGGUAACCUGCCCUUGACUUUGGGAUAACCUCAGGAAACUGGGGCUAAUACUGGAUAUGACCUCCUGCUUCAUGGGGUGUGUUGGAAAGUUUUGGCGGUUGGGGAUGGCCUCGCGGCUUAUCAGCUUGUUGGUGGGGUGAUGGCUUACCAGGGCAUCGACGGGUAGCCGGCCUGAGAGGGUGACCGGCCACAUUGGGACUGAGAUACGGCCCAGACUCCUACGGGAGGCAGCAGUGGGGAAUAUUGCACAGUGGGCGGAAGCCUGAUGCAGCGACGCCGCGUGAGGGAUGACGGCCUUCGGGUUGUAAACCGCUUUCAGCAGUGACGAAGCGUAAGUGACGGUAACGGGAAAAGAAGCACCGGCUAACUACGUG
rnacentral:rRNA from 1 species